rnacentral:rRNA from 1 species
GACGGCAGCCAUAUCGCUCUGCAACUCACAACUGGCAGCCAACUGGAGCCAAGCAGGUGUGAGCCUGGCCAGUACCUGGAUGGAAGACCUCCUGGGAAAAACCAAGGAUGCUGCUGGUG